rnacentral:tRNA from 1 species
GGGGCUAUGGCGCAACUGGGAGCGCGCUUGAAUGGCAUUCAAGAGGUCGUGGGUUCGAGUCCCACUAGCUCCACCA